UACGAAGGGGGCUAGCGUUGUUCGGAAUCACUGGGCGUAAAGCGCACGUAGGCGGACAUUUAAGUCAGGGGUGAAAGCCUGGAGCUCAACUCCAGAACUGCCCUUGAUACUGGGUGUCUCGAGUCCGGAAGAGGUAAGUGGAACUGCGAGUGUAGAGGUGAAAUUCGUAGAUAUUCGCAAGAACACCAGUGGCGAAGGCGGCUUACUGGUCCGGUACUGACGCUGAGGUGCGAAAGCGUGGGGAUCAAACAGG
rnacentral:misc_RNA from 1 species